CUGCGAGCUCAGGUAUGCAGCUUGGGGUCUGGAAGCUUAUGGACUCUGCAUCCAACAUUUCUUUUACUCGCUCUCCAACCCUGGACAAGCUGAUGGACUUCUCUGAGCUGUUUGUCCAUUUGUGGAUGAGAAUGCUGGUGCCCGCCCUUCCCCUAAGGCGGCUGUCAGAUCAAGGUCAUCACUGCACAUGAAGGCUUUGCUGAGGGCCUACCCUCUAGACACGACUGCCCUGGAGCAGGGAGGACACAAAGUCUCCUCUGAGACGGGAGUCUGCAGGCCAGCAGGUCCUUGCUGUAGUUUCAAAUGCGCUUCGGAGACGGGGCGAGGGGACCGUCGAGUCACGCGGGUCCCACUGAGCAGAGGACCCGCAGCGUUGCCGCCAGCUACCAGGAACGCGUCCCCAGCCGUGGAGCUCGUGGUGGCUGAUCAGAACUUCCUCUCUGACACAGAUGCCCAAUCAUUAGCUGCAGAGAGAAUGUGACUGAUGCUGCCCUCUCCUCACUGACUGCCACACCAGGAGGGUCCUGCUGGCACAGGGGAGGCCGGGGCAUGGCCACAAACACGGAGCCUCCAGACGAGCUCUCAGCACAGAGUCUGAUGCCUCCUUGAAGGUUUCAAGUUCCCAGAUGCAGCCACCAAGAGGUCAUCUUCACACUUCAAGCUGGAAGCUGUUAGAAGAAGGGACGCCCCGAGUUUGGAGCCGUUGGUUACGUGG
rnacentral:lncRNA from 1 species